GAUGAACGCUGGCGGCGUGCCUAAUACAUGCAAGUCGAGCGAACAGACGAGGAGCUUGCUCCUCUGACGUUAGCGGCGGACGGGUGAGUAACACGUGGAUAACCUACCUAUAAGACUGGGAUAACUUCGGGAAACCGGAGCUAAUACCGGAUAAUAUAUUGAACCGCAUGGUUCAAUAGUGAAAGACGGUUUUGCUGUCACUUAUAGAUGGAUCCGCGCCGCAUUAGCUAGUUGGUAAGGUAACGGCUUACCAAGGCAACGAUGCGUAGCCGACCUGAGAGGGUGAUCGGCCACGCGGGAACUGAGAGACGGUCCAGACUCCUACGGGAGGCAGCAGUAGGGAAUCUGCCGCAAGGGGCGAAAGCUUGACGGAGCAACGCCGCGUGAGGGAUGAAGGUCGUCGGAUCGUAAAACUCUGUUAUUAGGGAAGAACAAAUGUGUAAGUAACUAUGCACGUCUUGACGGUACCGAAUCAGAAAGCCACGGCUAACCACG
rnacentral:rRNA from 1 species